AACGAACGCUGGCGGCGCGUUUUAAGCAUGCAAGUCGGACGGCAGCGUGUAGCAAUACACGUGAGAGUGGCGAACGGGUGAGUAACACGUAGGUGACUUAUCUUAGGUGAUGGGGAUAGCCUGUGGAAACACAGGGUAAUACCGAAUACAUCUUUACGGGUAAAGCCGUGAAGGGAAAGGCGCUUUAGGCGCUGCACUAAGAGGGGCCUGCGGACCAUUAGGUUAGUUGGUGGGGUAAGGGCCUACCAAGGCGACGAUGGAUAGCCGGCCUGAGAGGGUGUACGGCCACACUGGGACUGAGACACGGCCCAGACUCCUACGGGAGGCAGCAGCUAAGAAUCUUCCGCAAUGGGGAAACCCUGACGGAGCGACGCCGCGUGAACGAGGAAGGCCGAAAGGUUGUAAAGUUCUUUUCUUGGGGAAGAAGUAAGGGGAAGAGGGAAUGCUUCUCUGAUGACGGUAACCGAGGAAAAGCCCGGACAAUUACGUG
rnacentral:rRNA from 1 species